GUUAGUGGUAGUUCAGUGGUUAAAACGUUGGACUACUGAUUGGAAGGUCAUGUGUUCAAAUCCUAGCACUACCA